GUCUAACCUGCCCACUGAAAAUUAUUUUAAAGGGCCGCAGUAUUAAUUGUGCUAAGGUAGCAUAAUAAUUAGUCUUUUAAUUAGAGACUAGAAUGAAUGGUUGAACGAAAUAUAAGUUGUUUCAAAAUUAUAAAAAUAAAAUUUAUUUUUUUAAUUAAAAAAUUAAAAUAAAUUAAAAAGACGAGAAGACCCUAUAGAUCUUUAUAUAAAUAAUUUUUUAAAAUUUAAAAUUUUUAUAUUAAAUUGGGGUGAUUAUAAAAUUUUAUAAACUUUUAUUUUUAAAUUCAUUAAUUUAUGAUUUAUUUAAAUUGAACUAUUUUUUAUAAAAUAAGAUUAAGAUACCUUAGGGAUAACAGCGUAAUUUUAAUUUUAAGUUCUUAUUGAAAUUAAAGAUUGCGACCUCGAUGUUGAAUUAAAAUUAAUAUUAAAUGUAGUCGUUUAAUUAUUAGGUC
rnacentral:rRNA from 1 species